GUGAAUUCUUCACGGGAGAAUGUCGAUGCUUUUAUUUUGAAGUUUUAUUUUGACAGCGCAUGUUGUUUCCGCUUCCGGUACCGCGAAUACACGCUACGCGACACGGACAGUAGAUCCGUUAGAUCGAGUCAUUGAUGAUAAACUCCAUCCAUCUUUACGGUCAUCUUACUGUCCACUAUGUAACUCCUUCUGUCAACUAAUCUGUAAGCCUACAACGGGUAAAUACAGAAGGGUAUAAAACAA